rnacentral:rRNA from 1 species
UACAGAGGUGGCAAGCGUUGUUCGGAAUUACUGGGCGUAAAGGGCGCGUAGGCGGCCUACUAAGUCAGACGUGAAAUCCCCCGGCUUAACCUGGGAACUGCGUCUGAUACUGGAAGGCUUGAGGAUGGGAGAGGGAUGUAGAAUUCCAGGUGUAGCGGUGAAAUGCGUAGAUAUCGAGAGGAACACCUGCGGCGAAGGCGGGUAGCUGGGCCGACACUGACGCUGAUGCGCGAAAGCGUGGGGAGCAAACAGG